AACGAACGCUGGCGGCAUGCCUAACACAUGCAAGUCGAGCGAGACCUUCGGGUCUAGUGGCGCACGGGUGCGUAACGCGUGGGAACCUGCCCUUAGGUUCGGAAUAACUCCCCGAAAGGGGUGCUAAUACCGGAUAAUGUCUUCGGACCAAAGAUUUAUCGCCUUUGGAUGGGCCCGCGUUGGAUUAGCUAGUUGGUAGGGUAAAAGCCUACCAAGGCGACGAUCCAUAGCUGGUCUGAGAGGAUGAUCAGCCACACUGGGACUGAGACACGGCCCAGACUCCUCCGGGAGGCAGCAGGGGGGAAUAUUGGACAAGGGCGAAAGCCUGAUCCAGCAAUGCCGCGUGAGUGAUGGAGGCCUUAGGGUUGUAAAGCUCUUUUACCCGGGAUGAUAAUGACAGUACCGGGAGAAUAAGCUCCGGCUAACUCUGUG
rnacentral:rRNA from 1 species